UUUAUGGAGAGUUUGAUCUUGGCUCAGAGUGAACGCUGGCGGCGUGCUUAACACAUGCAAGUUGUGCGAAGUCUUACAGAACAUCGUAGGAUUUAGCGGCAAACGGGUGAGUAACGCGUAGGAAAUCUUCCUUAAAAUGGGGGAUACCUCAGAGAAAUUUGAGUUAAUACCGCAUAAGACCACAGUUUGGCAUCAAACAGAGGUUAAAGCAGAAAUGCGUUUUAAGAUGAUCUUGCGUCCUAUCAGCUAGUUGGUAGGGUAAUUGCCUACCAAGGCGAUGACGGGUAUCCGUCCUGAAAGGGUGAACGGACACACUGGAACUGAGACACGGUCCAGACUCCUACGGGAGGCAGCAGUAAGGAAUAUUGGUCAAUGGAGGGAACUCUGAACCAGCCAUGCCGCGUGCAGGAAGACGGCCUUAUGGGUUGUAAACUGCUUUUAUUAGAGGAUAAAAUGAGAUACGUGUAUCUUAUUGCAGGUAUCUAAUGAAUAAGCAUCGGCUAACUCCGUGCCAGCAGCCGCGGUAAUACGGAGGAUUCGAGCGUUAUCCGGAUUCAUUGGGUUUAAAGGGUGCGUAGGUUGCAAAUUAAGUCAGCGGUGAAAAGGAGAUGCUUAACAUUUCCCGUGCCGUUGAAACUGAUUAGCUAGAAUAUUGGUGAAGUAUGCGGAAUGCGCAGUGUAGCGGUGAAAUGCAUAGAUAUUGCGCAGAAGGUCGAUUGCGAAAGCAGCAUACUAAUCGGUAAUUGACACUGAGGCACGAAAGCGUGGGGAUCAAACAGGAUUAGAUACCCUGGUAGUCCACGCUGUAAACGAUGAUAACUCGCUGUCGGCGCAUAGACGUCGGUGGUCAAGCGAAAGCGAUAAGUUAUCCACCUGGGGAGUACGACCGCAAGGUUGAAACUCAAAGGAAUUGACGGGGGCCCGCACAAGCGGAGGAACAUGUGGUUUAAUUCGAUGAUACGCGAGGAACCUUACCCGGGCUCGAACGG
rnacentral:rRNA from 1 species